CGAUAACAAUACUGUAGGCAUGGGUGAUGCUGGUAUUAAAUCUGCCAUUCAAGGCUCUAAUGUUCCUAACCCUGAUGAGGCCGUCCCUAGUUUUGUUUCUGGUGCUAUGGCUAAAGCUGGUAAAGGACUUCUUGAAGGUACGUUGCAGGCUGGCACUUCUGCCGUUUCUGAUAAGUUGCUUGAUUUGGUUGGACUUGGUGGCAAGUCUGCCGCUG
rnacentral:rRNA from 1 species